rfam:Microgenomates (Shapirobacteria) bacterium GW2011_GWE1_38_10 TS68_C0001, whole genome shotgun sequence.
GUCCCUAUAGUUCAAUGGAUAGAACGCGGGUUUCCUAAACCUGAAAUGGUGGUUCGAUUCCACCUGGGGAUA